UUGAAUAUUAUUCUUUGAAAUCUGUAGAAUCACUAAAGUACGCUCUAACAUUGUCUUAAAGGUUUUCAUUUUUUCAUACUGUUCUGACGGCUUUGCAGGUGGUAUGAGAGCAUCAUGCUGAAGACAUUAAAAUAUCAAGAGAGACGGAUAAGCUAUCAACAAUCAGAAAGGUUAGCAGAAGUUAAUUUCAAUACAAGAUUUCUUCUAUUAAUGUUUUAACGGAAAAUCUAAAUUCUGUGCAACAAAUUCACAAGAGAUGUUAGAACCUGCUGCAACUUCAAAGAGAGCUUUUGGUAGAACUCACUGAGGUCUGUAUAGUACAUCUCCUUCCAGGAUUUUAUCUGUCAUCAAUAAAAUAUAACCAAAAUAUUAAUGAUAAAACUUCACAGGAACAUAUAUAGAUGUAACUUGUCCUCUAAUUGUAGAAGCUAUAUAGCAUAUUGAUAUACCCAAUGGUUGAUGUCACCAGCACAUAAAUUUCAUUAGCAAAAGAAAACAUGACAAGAUGUACCGAUUCAUAUCGACAAUGAGAAUGUGACUUCCUUCAAUGCAUGCUAUCAGUGAAGAUACAAGAAUGUGUAUUGGGUCUAAAAACAUGUGAUGCCACUAUUUUGUCAUCAGAAAGCAUAAUCAGAAGUAACAGAAAAUAUUAUAGAUGAGUUACAAGUUUUCUGGUCAUAAUUUUUUUUUUUUGACAUCAGGGCUCAUAGAUUUUCCUCCCAACUAUUCUCCCAAACAAUUAUCUUCUUAUCAUUCUCAACCUAAAUUUUUCUAGCAAGUCUUUUGACUCAAAAUCCUCGACAAAACCCAUGCAUGGCCCGUCAUCAAUUUUUCCCAUCCUGCAAGUUAUAGUAGCAUGGUGUAUAUGCCAUGGAUGUGCUUGGAUGAAUCGGAAUCCUGAAAAGUCUGAAGUUUCUUUUUGGAUCCUGGUGUUGAGGUGUGACAGGGGCACAGAGACAUGCAAUGCCUACAAGGACCAGCACUAUAAUAAUUUCUCAUGCGAUGUCCUGGUCCUUGAAAUCUCAAAAGAAAGAGCAUAGAGGACAUUUUAGAAAAUAAAAAAUGGAGCUAUAGGAACUGGAGCUUCAUGGAUGGAGUACUCUGGAGUCUCAAUUUAAUAGUCGAAUAGUUGAGAGUAGGAGGAAGUGCUACUCAUGUUAUAAGCUGACAAAACAAUUUCAAGCUUUAAGUGAUUAUUCUCCUAGCAUAGGACAGAAGCCAGACUAAAGCUACAUGAAAGAAACAAAUUCCAGUGAUAAUAACAUUCCAAGCAGGGCUAUAAUAAUUAAGGACAAGUCCCAUAUUACAACAUACAGCACAGAGCAAGGUAGUCAGAAUCCUAGAAACUUCAUUUCCCGAGAUAAAGGGCCAAUAUGAGAAGUUUAGGGGAAUUUGUUUGUUUUACUUAUCAUAAUUUGAUAAAGAGAUGUCAGGUGCUCUGGAAUAUUUUCAACAAAUAUCCAAGAUGCUUAUUCAAAAUCAGUAAAGUUCUAUGCCAGUAAAGUAAUCACACACGAAAAUAUCAGCCUCUCUCUCUAGCCUCCUUAUGAGCUGACAAUAUAUGUUAUCACUUAGGAAAAAAAAUAGCUAUUCAAACUGUGGAUGGUUUGGUGCUGAUUUGGCCCUCAAUUUGGAGAAAUUGUACCCCACACCACAUGCAUCACAUGGUGGUGCACCAUGCCAAUCAUCUCAUCUCAUUCUUGUGGGGCCCAUCCAUCGUGCACUCAUCUUGGAUUGCCGCCCCUCUCACCUCUUUUCAAAAUGUUCUUGUGGUGCACCGCUGAUGUGGUGGUAUAAUUUCUUCUCAAUUUGAGCCACUUGACUGACCGCAAAGAUAUUGAUCAAGCUUUAAACUUCAGAACUUGGGAAAAAUGAAGGUUAUGUCAAAAAUUACAUAAAAGAGUGUGAAGACUUAGUUGUUUUGAUGUAACCUUUUGAUAGAUCUCCUCCUGCCAAUCAGCAACACCUGCAUGUCCUGUUUGAGCUGUUGAAUCCACUGAUGCUACAAAAGAAAAAGAGAAUUCCUAAAUCAAGCGGGACAAAACUGAAAAUGGAAAUUCACCAUAUAACUCAAUCAUUUGGCAAGAACAUUUUCAAUUUUCAAAUGGUGGGAUUGCAUCAGCUUAGACAAAUGAAGAAAUUACUUGCAUGAGCCAAAAUUUUCCUAAGGCUUUUCAAAUUAGCAUGACAUUUGUGAUGUAUAAGGAACAAAGGAGGAACUUUAAGCAUUAUUAUGCAAUUGCGUACAGAUGAAGAACACUUAUCCUUCAGUCCUUUGUGAAAUACUUAAAGCAAGCCUGUCACUUUAUCGGACCACAGAUAUGCUCGCCUUUCCAGAUCAUUACACAAUUUUGUGGACAAUUUGUUAAGCAUGGAGUAAGUAUUGUCAGAGAUUCUCUGAGAUCACGAAUUAUUUUCAGAGAAAAUGUAUCUCAACAAUGGAGCAAAACAAGAUUGAAGAAUGCGUGAUAGAAAGAAAAUGACACAACAAGCACAAUCCUGCAUAAUUGAAUAGAACUAGCUGGCAUGUGUCAGGAAAUAUAAUUUCUGCAGUACAAUUAAUAACCAGACAUGGAUCAUUCUCAAUCCUUCAGGGUAUGUUGGGUAGGGAUUAUAGGCAAUAUCACAAAUUGCAGAUAACUAAGAAAUAAGAAAUAACAUCAUCAAUGAUGCCCCAAAUGUUAUGACCUUUUGCAGCAUGAAUGAAGAUUAACUAACCAUACAGCAUAGUUAUUGGUAUUAACAAACUUAAAACCUAAGGGAGAAAGACAGCAAUGAUCUGAAUGCAGUUACAGUCAAAAGCAAACCAAGCACCAAACAGCAACAAGGUUAAAGAGGCUAAAAGUCAGACAGUGGACCCAGGACAAACCGACAAAAUAGAUGGAGUAGGUAAAAAAUACAAGCUAGUCGAAAAGAAGAGGAAGACAAGUUACCAGAUUGGUAAGGCUUCUGGAAAAUAUGCAGGUCCCGAGUUCAAAAGUCCAAAAACAAGAACUUAGAAUAUUGUGCAGUUCACAGAACUGGGAUGCAGCUGCUGAAACCCAGCAGAACAUACAUGUAAAAGUUGCUAGCAGAUUAAAAUGCUACAGUGGGAAACCAAAGGCCAAAAUCAAGAAUCUAAUAGAUGCUAAGGAGAGACGAGGCAAAGCAAAAAAGGCAAUCCACCAGACCUAAUUAGAGAGCACAGAAAGCAGAAUUAGAGACUCUUUUAUUGGUAAAAAGCAAAGCAACCACAUUAUCAACUGCUAAUGUCAUUAGGACAGAUUGCCAAUCUUGACCACACAUAAUCACUAUUCAGUACUCACCAGUCUUGGACAGCAGGGUUUGACUCAUUAGAAACUAGCAUCAAGUAAUUAGUCACAUAACAUGGAGGAAAUCACCUUGGUAGACAAUUCAACUCACAAUUAGAAUCGUUUUUGGCAGUCCACCUCACCCACUUUUUGGGCAGAUGUAAAAUUCUCCAAGGUGGGUGUUGCAUCAACUUCAAAAUCUCAAACAUGCAAUACGAUACACCAAAGAUUUAGGUCCCAGUAGGACACUGAGACAGGAUACCAUCCCAUGUGUCGAGAUAAGGCCAUCCUGCUAGCAUCCCAACAUUCCAAUUAGGACACUUUGGGACAUCAUCAUCCUAAGUGUCGUGACAAGGUAGGACGGCGACGCGUCCCGUUCCAUGAAAAAAUCAGGACAGCCUCGUCCAACAGAACUAAAAACCUUGAAACCAACUUCAGGAUGCUUCCACCAUGCUUUAGUGUAUGGCUCCUAUUACAAAACCAUACUGACCAAUUUAUUUUAUUGCAAUCAGCUUCAUGAAGUAUACUCCUUUUUUUCUUUUCCUUUUUUUCUUAAACCUGUAUCUCAUGUAGUUCAUGAGGUACAACCAAUAUAUAAGUGAAUGAAUCUUUAUUUGUUCUUUCAUAUUGUUCUAUGUGAUUUUUCCCAGGCUCCUAGCUUUCUAAUUUUUUGAGAAAUGAGAUUGCUGUUUCAUCAUUCUUGCUUCAUGCUAGGUAACAAGAACAUUGGGAAUGUGAGGAAGCAUCAAGUUGGUCGAGAUAUAUGACGGAGUAGCACAUUACUUUACAAAUAAUAUGAAAUAACCAUAAGGGAUGUAAAGAAAAGGUCAAAUUCAGAUAAGUAAUAUCAUUGGUUAUGUGCAAGAGAUCAAGGAAAACUUAUAAAUUUCAUGACUUACUACUGGAGGAGACAUCUGGAAGCACUCUUGGUGCCUGAAUAAAUUGCUUCUGCUGCUCAAUUGCAUUCUGAGACUGAAGCAAGGCACUUGGAGCUUGAAGCCUUUGCUGCAACGAAUUUGGUGGUUGUUGCAUUGCCAAUUGUUGUUGCAACUGUGCAGGCUGAGAUUGAAUUUGAGAAAUGAGUUGCUGUUGUGAUGAUUGAUGUUGGGAUUGUUGACCUUGUGACUGCAACAAUGCCAACGGCGCCUGCUGGGUUUGCUGCUGUUGUUGUGUAACCAUCUUGGGUUGUUGCAACAUAUGGAUGGAGCGCUGAUGUGGCUGCAUGUUUGAAACAUUAGGAAGGGAUCCAAGUAGUUGCUGCUGCUGCUGCUGCUGCUGCUGCUGCUGGUGCUGCAACCCUGAUAUGCUGCUUUGGGGGCCUAACUGCUGCUGCUGAUGUAAAGAAAUACUUUGCUGAUUUAACAUCUGCUGAGGCUGUUGGAUGCCCAAAAGACUGUUCUGCUGAACUGGCAGUCUCUGCUGCUGCGCCUGUUGCAUGUCUUGAACACUAUUUUGUUGUCCAAGCAGCUGAGCUUGUUGCAUAUUUGAAAUAUUUGCUUGCUGCCCCAUUAUCUGCUGCUGCUGUUGCUGCAAUGGUAAAUUUGAUUGCUGAGGUGCUGGAGUUGGCUGUUGCUGAAGUGAAGGUGUUUGUUGAUGCAUAGAAGGCUGUGCUUGUUGUUGUUGUCUCGCAACUGAUUGUGGAUGUUGCUGAAGCAAAGAUGGUACUGAUUGCUGGAUUGAAUUCAGUUGAUUCUGUUGAAGGCCAGGUUGUGCAGCUGACUGCAUUGUUGUAGGCUGUGUCUGCUGAAUAGUGGACUGACCUGACUGUAGACUUGAUGACAUUUGCAUCAGAGACUGUUGAGAAGAUUGCAGCUGGGUUGGCUGCAACAGAGAUUGUUGCUGUUGCUGCUGUUGCAUAUGCGGUUGCAGGAGUGAAGAAUGCUGCAACUUCUGUUUCAUUAACUGUUGUUGAAGCUGGUGCUGGUAAAUAAGCUGAUUCUGUGAUUGCUGCUGCUGUUGGGAAAUUAUUUGUUGAUGGUGUUGCCUUCCCUGCAUUUGCCUUUGUGCAUUGGCAUAAAUAUCUGGUGCUGCACCUUGCCCUACAGAAUUACUCACAGAGUUCUGUGAUAUUCCAGGCAUGUUCUGCAGGUUGGAUGUCUGACCAACACUGGAUAUGUUGGACUGACCAAGACCUGUGAUGGAUGAUAGUGCAGAAGGCAGGUUGGCAGAACUUUGUACAGCAGUUGACGUGUUAUUCUGAAGGUUUUGGGGUAAAAGUUGUUGCCUUGCUGCAGGUGGAUUAACCAUGGGAAUUGCUAAUGAUUGCCCUUGAUUGCCGAGUGACACUGUUGUUACAAAUAUACCAGGAUGUUUGUUAGUUGACAGAAUUUUUGAAAGUGAUGAAGAAUAGAAUUUUACCAUGUAAGCGAUUAUCCAACCUCAGCAAACUUUAAUUAACAAAGCUUUAUGCCAUCCACAAGGAGUUGUUUCUAGUAUUAUAGUAUUAUUUACCGAAGUUAGAAAGCAUUUUACACAGGGAUGGCAAUGGGUAGGGUACCCACAAAAUUUGCCCUAUGUGUAUCCGAGCACCUAAUAAAAUCUUACUACCUGAACCAGUCCCAAACCCGAUUACGAAAUUAACCAAAAUUCCCAAACCCAUCCCAUUUAAAAUUGGUAGUUAGAAAAACUAUCCUCUUGGUUGCACAACAAGCUUAAGGACACGGGAGCAAAACCACUUCCAGAUCCACAUUAGCAUAUAUCCUACAUUGGAUUCCUUAAACUGAGGAAGAAUUGUCAAUGCAAAGAAAUAAGAAUUGGUUUGUCGAUGUUUUGGAUUUUUAUGUUGUCAGGAAAAUGCAAAAAGUGGAUGGAUUCUGCUAGAAAAAAUUGUGCACCUUCUGCAACAAUACCAUGCAAUUUUGCAUGAAAAUCAGCAACACUAGUGUGUUUUCGUAGAAAAUGAUUUUAUAUCAAAAAAAUAAUAAAUCUCAAAAUAUGCUGAUAAAAACUCCACAAUCAUUUGUUUCAAUAUCAGAUAUUGUCAGAUGGCAGGGAAAGUUUCACAUACCCAAGUCAGUUGCUUUUCAAAAUUGUUAGUUUAAAUCAGAUUUCAUAAAAAAAUAAUCAUUUAUAGUGCAAAUAAGAGCUGUUUUUAGUUAAUUUAUUAUUAAUUUAUUAACCAUGCUAAGUUUGUGUGCAAAGCUUAUAACUUAAUAUCCAUGUUCCCUUUUGUUGUUUAUUCACACAUCAUAUCAUUCAUCCAUUUAAAUCGAACUUAUUAUUCUUAGAAACAAUGAUAAAGUUUCUUAUGUAGAUGCUUUAGAAGUUGAGUUUAUCUUUUUGUUACUGUUUACUUAAUCUAGUAUAAUGCUAAUUCAUGUUAAUUUUUAUGCUAGACUUCUUCAGAUGCUGUACCAUGCAAGUACUCUACAUGUUAAUUAGUUAUUUAGAAUGCAUCCUAGGCAUGGUAUAGGAUGCUAAAAAUAUUGGUCAAAGAAAAAAAAUGACCAGUCAAAGCAUGUUUGUUUCCAAGAAAGAAGCAUUUAAAACAAUUAAAAAAGGGUAGGGGAUCAUAGGAUAUCAAAGCAUGUCAACUGCACAUCUUCAAGCAUCUUACAGAAUUUUCAAUAUUAAUGCUUACAUAUACCAUACAGCCCCCAACCAACUUGAGCAAAACAAGUAAUAUGUUGAUCUUGUUUUUUCAAGCCCAUUGAACUCCUGUAGUUGUAAGUUACCAACAGGUCAAUCCAUUUAUGCAGUUUAACAAUACAGGAGACUGUAUUUCUAUUCAUCUAUUUGUCAUCAAGUCUGAAUGAACAGUGACAGCGAGCACCUAGUUGCAUAAACUUAAGAAAUCUAAACAAGAAGAUAGGCCUUUAUACCUAUAAAAGGGGCGACAAAAAUUGACCCAAAACCAAAACUCCACCUGAGUUGCACGUAUUUAGGACAGGGAUUUUAGUUUGGGUUAUGCACAGGUCAAACUUUUUGAUCCAGACUUUAAACAUGUCAGAUACCGGUCAAAGUUUUGACUGUACUCACAUGAUGAGCAUAAAGUUUUAUUUGGAUCAGGUUAAUUCUUGAACUUCGUGAAAAGAUUUUGAGAACAAUCAAUGUCCUUUUGAUAUUAUUUGUAAUAUUCACCUCAAUUUGAUGCAUCAAGAGUUGCAAGGAUUGGUCAAAAAGUCUUAGUUUGGGUAUGCGCCAUGUUGCAUGGGUUUGGUCGGUCAGGGCGGUUAAAAUGUCAGUGGGUACAUGGAACAAAGAAUCCCAAUAUGAUACUGGGUCAGGUUAAAUAUGGUUCAAGGUUUCCAUAACAUUGUCCUACUUUGACCCAUUCGAGCUAUUACACAAUAUGCACAGAACAAGAACUAAAAAGGAUGAGAAAAACAUAUUAAGAAACAAUAGUGGAUGCCAAUUAUACAGAAAAAAGGGACAAAAUAAAAUUGUACCAGAGGUUGGGAAAGAAUGCACAUGGUGCAAUACCAAAUGAUAUUUCAUUUGUAGAAAAAGCUUAGAGAAUUAUCUGCUGCAUGUCGACUAUAAAUCAAAAUAAAAAGUGAAAACAAACAAUUAGAUGUUAAAACAAACAACGCAGUAUCUGUGAGUUUCUUUCAGAUGCCAAGCAUACAAGUUCUCCAAUACCCAACUGUCUCAUUUAAAUCUUUUAUGACAUUGCAUUAAUAUGAAGCAAUAUGUUCUAUCACGUCAAUACCUUGAUCUGUAGGAUUUUGGUUCGGAAUGGUGGUGUUUGGCAUUGAAGAGUUAAUUGGAGCAGUAUGCUGAGUCUUUGUCUCCAUCGAAAGCAUUUUCAGAGAAAUUUUCCUCAGAUAAUCAGGCUGCAAUAUCAGAAAUAUUACUUCCCAUGAGAGCUGACAAUUCAAAUUAAUGAGAAUGAGAGGAAACACAGAUAAAGCCUUUUUUUGAAGGAAGAGAAGGAAUAUGCACAACAAGGAGACUCAUCUAUCCACCUUGAGGAUGAAUAUAUUCGCUUCACCUACAGUUUGACUUGCCCAGACUAGCUAUCGAAAUACUUACCAUAAUACAUCUACAUUUUAAAUCAAGCCUUUAUAAUUAGCAGAAUUUGAUUAUCUAAACCCGGUAUUCCUGGCCGAACAACACAAAUCAGUCAAAGAAAAUCAAAAGCAUGACUUGCAAUAUGGAAGAUUAGCAAACAGCAGACAGCUGCCAACAUCAAGUAGAUCAAGUAGCCAUGCUCAAGUCAAGGAAAUAAGUGGAAGCUCAGCAAGAGCUGCAGGACAUUGAUUUUUUCCUUCUUUUUCUCCACUAGUUGAGGUAACUAUCGACAAGUAACAAAGUAACAAUAGUUCCUAUAACUAGCCUCUCAGCAUGCUAAAUCAUGAUACCCAACCAACUCAUUAAUUUACAAAAAGUCUAGCUUCUCCCAUAUGUUUUUAUUGAGAUUUGACUACGAGCUUAACAAAUGCACCUCAUAAGCAUAGACCGUGCAUUUUCAUAUUUCAUCAAGCAAUUGAGCUCCUUCGAUCUCUUACCGGCCCCUCUCCCAUUCUCCUAAAGGCAUGCAGGUAGCCAUAGAAAAUGAAGGAAGACAAAUCAACCUUUCCCCUCAGCUCUUUCCACUUACAAAUAACAUACAUUUUUCUCUAUUGCACCAAAUCAUUAGUAUCAAUUCACACUACUACUCAGCUCCAAAAGGCCAAAUUCCACAACUCCAUCAUCUCGAUGAUCUUGACAUGCUACAUCUUGAUGAGAAUUGUACAAAAACAAAUUGUACAAAAACAAACAUAUCGAUCUUUGUACGGGACUACAUCAUUAGUAGUAAUUCACACUGUUGAAUUACAAAUGGCCAACAAUUCCUUGUGGGGGUUCUUGCGGCAAACAUCUUCAAUUCCACCAAUCUCAAACAUUUUAACAUGAGAACUGCAUUGCUCUUUGUACUACACUUCAUCAGUAGUGUUAAUUUCCCCUAUUUAAUUCCAAAUGGAAGACAAAUUCGUUGGAGUGUUUGCUGCUCAACAUCUUCAAUUCCACCAAUCUCAUCAAUUCCAAUAUGAUAGUUACCUUGUAUGAAUUGUAAAUAAACAAACAUAUUCAGAUAAGGGUACCUUGAUUAACUUCCUCAUCAGUUAAAUAUGAAUUGCAAUUGAGCACGUUACUUCACAAAUCUGCAUGUGCAUGGUGACUAAAUCAUUUGAUGACAAAACAGUAGCCAGUUUCGGCAGUCUGUUGUGUCCCCCAGGCCAAAUACGAAGGACAUUUUCCAGAACAUACACUAGAACAAGGCUGCAGCUGUAACGUUAAAUUUGUAGGAAUGCUUACUAAGAAAGAAUGAUGAUUAAUUGCUUAUAGCACGAAUGAUCCAUCUUACAUCAUAAAAUAAGCAUAAGAGAAGUUUGAGAUUCAGGUAAAUGAAUGUACCUGACUUGUAGCUGCGCUAUAUAUCUUCUCUUCAAAUCGUACAGCAAUUUUCUGAAGUUCAUUUAAGCCUUCCGGCACAGAAAUAGGCAAGUGUCUCUUUAAAGUGUCCAUUCUGCAAAAAAAAAAAAAAAAAGCCAGUAAAUGCCGCUGAUAAUGGAGUUGAAUCUCACGAAGAAACUAUUAACAAGAAAACUGUGUGCCUGCAUAGAUAUUGAAAACUGUGUGCCUGCAUAGAUAUUGUUGAUGAGGACUCAUCCAUAUAUAACGAAGGUUACUCUAAGAACAAGAUCUCUACCCAUGAUUUCGUUCAGACCUAUCAAGUUAAAAACAUAAAUAAACGCAAUUUUUGAUAUAUUUCUUAACAAGCGCAGACAAAUAUUCCCUCCCUUUCUUCUUCUUACAAUCUUAUCCCCUUGUUAUCUCUCUCUCUCUCUCUAGAUAUAUAGAUAUAGAUAUAGAUAUAGCGACAGGGGAUUCCUUGAGGGAACUUGGUGUCCUAUCUACGGUCCAAAACUCCAUCAUCUCCAUCAAUUNNNNNNNNNNNNNNNNNNNNNNNNNNNNNNNNNNNNNNNNNNNNNNNNNNNNNNNNNNNNNNNNNNNNNNNNNNNNNNNNNNNNNNNNNNNNNNNNNNNNNNNNNNNNNNNNNNNNNNNNNNNNNNNNNNNNNNNNNNNNNNNNNNNNNNNNNNNNNNNNNNNNNNNNNNNNNNNNNNNNNNNNNNNNNNNNNNNNNNNNNNNNNNNNNNNNNNNNNNNNNNNNNNNNNNNNNNNNNNNNNNNNNNNNNNNNNNNNNNNNNNNNNNNNNNNNNNNNNNNNNNNNNNNNNNNNNNNNNNNNNNNNNNNNNNNNNNNNNNNNNNNNNNNNNNNNNNNNNNNNNNNNNNNNNNNNNNNNNNNNNNNNNNNNNNNNNNNNNNNNNNNNNNNNNNNNNNNNNNNNNNNNNNNNNNNNNNNNNNNNNNNNNNNNNNNNNNNNNNNNNNNNNNNNNNNNNNNNNNNNNNNNNNNNNNNNNNNNNNNNNNNNNNNNNNNNNNNNNNNNNNNNNNNNNNNNNNNNNNNNNNNNNNNNNNNNNNNNNNNNNNNNNNNNNNNNNNNNNNNNNNNNNNNNNNNNNNNNNNNNNNNNNNNNNNNNNNNNNNNNNNNNNNNNNNNNNNNNNNNNNNNNNNNNNNNNNNNNNNNNNNNNNNNNNNNNNNNNNNNNNNNNNNNNNNNNNNNNNNNNNNNNNNNNNNNNNNNNNNNNNNNNNNNNNNNNNNNNNNNNNNNNNNNNNNNNNNNNNNNNNNNNAUAUUGAAAAGUGAUGAUUACAUAAAUCAAUCAGAUAAAAUGAUGCACUCCAUAAUAGAUUUUUUACACUACUCACAGUGCACAAAAAAAAUUUUAUGAUAUAUGAUAAUGGGCUCAGUCGUCAGAAAAUUUUAGAGGAGGCAAACACCUCUCUUAUUGCUAAUAGAUUUCAUGAAUUUCAUUACUAUUUUCUCACCGGACAGUAAAAAAUUGCUAAUAUACAUGUAACAGACACUUAGGCAUUAUUUCUGAAAGAAAGUCUCGUGACUUUGGCAUGUAAGAAUUUCUAACAAGUUAUUGGAUACUAUGGUUUCAGAAAAAUGUUUGACUCCGAAUUACAUAAGAUUGUUAUUGAGAUACAUGCAACUUCCUAGUUAUACCUUUGAAGCUUUGACUAUUUGUAUGAAGGGUAUUGAUGAAUUGGAGCUCAAAGACAGUGGUGAGUAAAUGUUAGUUGGGAGGUGAAUUCAUAAUGAAAGUUAUUUUCUAAUUUUGUGCAGUGAUUAGCCGGGUAAUAUAUUGAUCAAAGAUUUAAAAUAUUUUGAUCAGCUAUAUUUUGAUCAUUCAUGAAUCAUUUUAUCGCUUAUCUAGAUGAUCUAAUUGUGACAUGUGGCCUCAGCCAAGUAUUAUCCAUGCCAAUAUUUUCCACAUCAUAAUUUUAAUUCUUUGAUUUCCACAAAUGCUUAUAACCAACUCAAUUUCGUUUGAAUGUUGGGGACUAUCAAUGGAGUUCCAGUAGGGCCAGAGUAUGGGAGCUCUUGGAGGUGCCGAUGUGGUGAUAAGUCCCGCUGAUCCAGUGCACCACCAACUUUGUAUCCAUAGAUCUCACAAACUUACAUCGGAGAAAAAUUAUUGGUUGAACCAAAUCCAUCACAUCAUUUUUAGACCAGUUCAACAAUAAUUCGAUACAUCUGAAACUUAGGUAGAGGGGAAAAAUAUCGGCGAAUGAAAGUUUUUCAACCCCUUUGAUAUUGUAGUUAAUGGCUGGCUAAAUUGUUUUGAGUUUGCUGCAAUCGCAACUUCUCAAACUGGUAUUCUAUCUUGUUACUCGAAAUCUUCCUCCGUCUCUCCAUCUGCCUCCUUCAUGGUAUCUCCCAUGAUGGGCUCCAAGCCUAUGUCGACAGAGAUGAGUUAGUGGCAAUAGUAAGGGCAUCUUGGAAAGGGCCUCGGCCCUACAAAAACCUCUGGUGCACAGCUUGUGGCUCCAAGCCCAUUGCCAGUGAGGAUGAGUUGACGGCAUCGGCAUGGGGAUCUUGGAGAGGGCCCAAGACUUGUCUCGAUUUUUUAGCAUUUUUACAUCCUUUGAUCCCUAAUCUAGUCGAUCAGUUUCUCUGCAAUAGGUAUUUGGCCUCCAUGAUGUCUUCUACAAGGAUCUCGAUUGCGCCUCUUAGAGCUCCAAGCCCAUUGCCAAUAGAGAUGAGUUGGCGACAAUGGCGAGGGGAUCUUAGAGAGGGCUUCCAAUGCACCGCCUCUGGUGGAGAUGAACCGACAAUAGUGGCAAGGGGAUUUGAAGAGGGCCUGGCCCUGAUCUUAAUUUAUUGACAUAUUUAUAUCACGUUGGUCCUUAAUCUUGCCAAUUUUUUUCCUCCACAAACAUUUUGAAUUGUGAUUGAACUGAUCCAAAAAUGAUAGAGUGGAUCUACUUUAAUCAAUAUUUUUUCCAUCUUUUCUUCGGGGCAUCACCAACAAUGAUCCAUGCCCUUCUUUGGGUUAAAGACUACAUCCCAUCUGCUAACACCUUAUUGAUCAAUCAAUGUCAACAUCUUCUUUGAUGAAUGGUUUUACCGACACCACCCCCGGCCGACCAUCCUGGGUCCUCGACCAUAUUGCUAUCUCGACCUCCAACCUUCGCCGAAGGCUUGCUUUGGCCUCAAUCUCAACCUCCAUCGAGAUCCCUCUAAGAUCUUUGGGCUUUUGUUUGCCUUAUGGAUUUUGUCGUGGGCGCACUUUUCUAACAUAGUAUUCUAGAUCACAUAAAAAUCAUUUUUAGAGUGUUAAUUAUUUGAUUUCUACAAAUUAUUCACCAAGUAAAUAUCUUUCGUCAUGCGUAUUAUCUAUAAAAUACGUAUCCUUGCCAUUAAAUUAGGACAAUCUGAAAGAAUUGGCAUCUAGUGCAUGACUUUGACUUGGGGCUUGCUGACAUGGACAUACAUUGCAGCUAAAAUCUCAUUAUGUUUUAAAAGUUUGAGAUAAGACAAUUAGUCAUUAAUUUCUCCCCUACCAGCCACGGAGGAAUUAAGUUUUCAGCUAUUGCUUUUUUAGAUCAAGCCUCUACAGUUCUGACAAUAGUAGGAUAAUCGAUCUGAAGAAGUCCAGCUGAUUUGAAUUUUGAAGUUCCACUCAGAUUUACGUUUUAGAUAGUAUUGGGUCUUUAUAUCAUUAGGGGAUAUGGGUAAAGGUAGACCAGUUAAUAUCUGUCCAAAUUAAUCGUUGUAUCCGAACCUACUCAAACAUGGAUAAAAAUUUAAGUAUUCGACUAAUAUCCGUAUUCGUAUCUAUGUCUACAAAAAAAAAAAAAGGAUAUAGAUAAAUAACUGUACGAUUUGUAACCAAAUAUUUGAUUUUACUUAUAAUCUUAUUUAAUUUUAUAUAGUAUCUAUUAAGUUUUAAAAAAAUAUAUAACUAUAUUAACAUGCCAUUAAUUUGAUUUAUCAUUAACUUAGUAAUAUUUUUUAUUGUGGUCAUAAAAUUUAACUAUGCAAUUUAUAUCCAUAUUUAUAUCAAUAUUUUUCGUAUCCAAUUUGUAUAUGUAUCCGUUUAAAAUAAAUAUAGAUAUGAAAAUUUUCAUCCGAUUAAUAUCUAUAUUAAUAUUUAUAUUAAAAAAAUAAAUAUAGAUAUAGAUAUACUGAUAUUCGAUCUAUAUUCAAUCUAAUUUUUGCCCUAGUAGAAGAUAAAUCUAGCGAGCUGAUUAGGGCUGGGACGGUAGGGCUUUUUGGAAUUGAGCUAUGGUUCCUGUGUUGCUUGGGCUUCUUUGCUUUCUUUUUUUAAUCAUUUUGCUCAAAAUAAAAAAAAUAAAAUAAAAUAGUUUUCUUUUUCUUUAGGGUAGAGCAUGAUAAAGUUUCAAAAUUUGGUUCCCCAGGAUCACACCAAAGAUGUCUUAUGUACCAAGUUAGUACGGAGAAGAUGAUAAAAGAAAUAAUUACAAAGGUAUAGGAAUUUUUCUUAUAUCUCCAAGGGUCCAAUUCUUGCUAGUGGCAUUUCUAACAUAUUUUUCUCAAAAAUACAAGAAGUAAUUAAAUGCCUGUUUAGUACUUUUUUUUAAAAAAAAAUAGAAAUAUAGAACCAAAUAUAAAAAAAUAUAUUUGGCUAUCAUAUUUCUAUUUCAUUUUUUUAAAACAACUCUCAUUAUUUUCGAAAAAGGAGAAAGCAAAAAAAAUUACUUCCAUUUUUUUACAUAAUAGAUUUUCACCUUUAUCAUCCCAACCCGGCAACCCCACUUCUUUUUUUGCCUAAUCUUAUCCUCUACACCAUUGCCACCAGCCAACGUACCACCUCUCUGGACUUUGCCAGCCAUCUUUCUACCCGAUGCAAGCUAUCCCUCAUUCUCGCCGCAUCGCCGGACCCAUUCCUACUUCCUUUUCCUCUCACACUCCCUCGACUGUCUCUCUGCUCGACAUCAAGCUCUUCCUUGUUUUUAGCCACAUCAUCAGCCCCAACUCCCUUGUUUUCUAUUGUCUGAAAUCUGAAAAAAAAUAGGAAUAGAAUUUCUAAUUUCAAUUUUUUUUAAAAAAAAUGACAAUGAUGCCAAACACAACAUAAGUUUGCAUUAACAAACAAGAGAGAAUAACAUCCCCAAGCCCAACUAGCUUCAGUAUUCUGAACCAGUACUGACAAAUUAGGAUGUUCAGAGAGAAUAGAUAUAUCAGCUAGAGGAAAACUAUGAAGACGAACAAGAUGAUAAAGAAGAAAAAGAUGAAAAAGAAAGAAUCCAAAUGAUGAUGAUGAUGAACAUCUUGUAAUUGCUGCUUCAUUUGCUCUCUUUGCAUCAGUUGCCGUUGUUGAUCCUGCUGUUGUUGCUUCAAAUACUGCUGCUGUAUUGUGUUAGAACUUGGUUGCACAAGACUAGCAUUAGGUUGUAAUGUAUUCAUAGAGCUGUUUGAUAGAGUAUUGGUGUUGGUCUGUUGAGGUGCAUUGACGGUACUUGGCACAGAUCCCACACCACCUUGUUGCUUGGAGCCCACAGCACCCUGCUGCAAUGAAUUAAAAGAACUGCCUUGUACUGAAUCCAGAUUAGCAGCAGGCUGUAAUGCAUUUGUGAUAUUCUGCUGUGUCGUUGGAACACCAAAGUUUGUUGGUCAAGGCAUGGAUACAUGUUGCAUGCCGGUCACAGCAGAUGGCUGCAUUGAAGUUGCUGAAACUUGUAAAUUCAUUUGUUGCACCUGGUUUGGGUGAUUGUCAAUUUGUCAUGCUGCUGCAGCUGAGAAACUUGGGAUGGUUGUUGCUGUGGCAUGGAGUGAGCAAGCCCACCAGGAUGCUGGAAUUGCUGUUGUCCCUGAGAUUGCGAUGGUAUACCUUUCUUUUUAGUUGAAGCUAGAACAUUAUGAAUUUGUCUCUCAUACAGAGGAAGUUUUUCCUUCAAACCAGGUUGAAUAUUAUUCUUUGAAAUCUGUAGAAUCACUAAAGUACGCUCUAACAUUGUCUUAAAGGUUUUCAUUUUUUCAAACUGUUCUGACGGCUUUGCAGGUGGUAUGAGAGCAUCAUGCUGAAGACAUUAAAAUACCAAGAGAGAUGCAUAAGUUAUCAACGAUCAGAAAGGCUAGCAGAAGUUAGUUUAAAUACAAGAUUUCUUCUAUUAAUGUUUUGAAAUAAAAUCUAAAUUCUGUGCAACAAAUUCACAAGAGAUAUUAGAACCUG
rnacentral:lncRNA from 1 species